rnacentral:misc_RNA from 1 species
UACGUAGGUGGCAAGCGUUGUCCGGAAUUACUGGGCGUAAAGCGCACGCAGGCGGUCUGUCAAGUCGGAUGUGAAAGCCCCCGGCUCAACCGGGGAGGGCCAUUGGAAACUGGGCGGUUUGAGUAUAGGAGAGAAGAGUGGAAUUCCACGUGUAGCGGUGAAAUGCGUAGAGAUGUGGAGGAACACCAGUGGCGAAGGCGACUCUUUGGCCUAUAACUGACGCUGAGGCGCGAAAGCGUGGGGAGCAAACAGG